GUGACUCCUACGGGAGGCAGCAGUGGGGAAUAUUGCACAAUGGGGGAAACCCUGAUGCAGCCAUGCCGCGUGUGUGAAGAAGGCCUUCGGGUUGUAAAGCACUUUCAGUAGGGAGGAAGGUAGUGUAGUUAACACCUGCAUUAUUUGACGUUACCUACAGAAGAAGCACCGGCUAACUCCGUGCCAGCAGCCGCGGUAAUACGGAGGGUGCGAGCGUUAAUCGGAAUUACGUGGGACGUAAAGCGCAUGCAGGCGGCCUGUUAAGUCAGAUGUGAAAGCCCCGGGGCUUAACCUCGGAAUUGCAUUUGAAACUGGCAGGCUAGAGUCUUGUAGAGGGGGUAGAAUUUCAGGUGUAGCGGUGAAAUGCGUAGAGAUCUGAAGGAAUACCAGUGGCGAAGGCGGCCCCCUGGACAAAGACUGACGCUCAGAUGCGAAAGCGUGGGGAGCAAACAGGAUUAGAUACCCUGGUAG
rnacentral:rRNA from 1 species